UACGGGGGGUGCGAGCGUUGUCCGGAAUUAUUGGGCGUAAAGAGCUUGUAGGCGGUUUGUCGCGUCUGCUGUGAAAUCUCAAGGCUCAACCUUGAGCUUGCAGUGGGUACGGGCAGACUAGAGUGUGGUAGGGGAGACUGGAAUUCCAGGUGUAGCGGUGAAAUGCGUAGAUAUCUGGAGGAAUACCGGUGGCGAAGGCGGCAUCCUGGACCAUAACUGACGCUGAGGCGCGAAAGCUAGGGGAGCAAACGGG
rnacentral:rRNA from 1 species